GUGAUCUCUGGGGAAGAUGCGGUAAGAGCUUCCUAAAUCAUCUGUCCUGGUCCCUUCUUGUAAACCUUUACUUUCAGUUGCUGUGUUUAUGGCACAUACUGUUAACAAAACACAACAAUAAACACGUACACAUGUAGAUUAAAAGAGAGGGAGAAACACAAACACAAGAAUUUUAUGUGGUUCGGCAAGUGUGUUUACAUCUAUGGACAGUU
rnacentral:misc_RNA from 1 species